GGGGGUGUGGUUCAAUGGUAGAGCACUUGCCUAGCAGGCAUGAGGCCCUGGGUUCAAUUUCCUCCACCACAA
rnacentral:tRNA from 1 species